UUAAAUUGAAGAGUUUGAUCAUGGCUCAGAUUGAACGCUGGCGGCAGGCCUAACACAUGCAAGUCGAACGGUAACAGAAAGCAGCUUGCUGCUUUGCUGACGAGUGGCGGACGGGUGAGUAA
rnacentral:rRNA from 1 species